rnacentral:rRNA from 1 species
CUACGGGGGGCUGCAGUGGGGAAUAUUGCACAAUGGGCGCAAGCCUGAUGCAGCCAUGCCGCGUGUAUGAAGAAGGCCUUCGGGUUGUAAAGUACUUUCAGCGGGGAGGAAGGGAGUAAAGCUAAUACCUUUGCUCAUUGACGUUACCCGCAGAAGAAGCACCGGCUAACUCCGUGCCAGCAGCCGCGGUAAUACGGAGGGUGCAAGCGUUAAUCGGAAUUACUGGGCGUAAAGCGCACGCAGGCGGUUUGUUAAGUCAGAUGUGAAAUCCCCGGGCCCAACCUGGGAACUGCAUCUGAUACUGGCAAGCUUGAGUCUCGUAGAGGGGGGUAGAAUUCCAGGUGUAGCGGUGAAAUGCGUAGAGAUCUGGAGGAAUACCGGUGGCGAAGGCGGCCCCCUGGACGAAGACUGACGCUCAGGUGCGAAAGCGUGGGGAGCAAACAGGAUUAGAUACCCGGGUAGUC